CCCCCCCCCCCCAUGAGGCAAGGACGCUGGGCACCAGCAGCAGCAUCACUACCAGCAGCAGCAUCACCACUACCAGCCUUUAAUGCAGAUUUCAAUCUCCAGUCAGAGAAUGUGCAGCAGUUUGUUGAGGCACCACCAGCAACAGUAGCAGUACCAGCUGCAGCUGUGUCAGUGGCAGGAGCAGCACCAACAGCAGCACAAACACCCAAUGCAAUAACAAUAAAGGCAUUCAUUCAUUUA